rnacentral:rRNA from 1 species
CAUGAGCAAAAUCUCAACUUUAUUAGAAGAGACGCAUUUAUUAGAUAAAAAGCCAGUUCAUGCUUUUACAGUAUGAAAAUUGGUGAUUUAUAAUAACUUAGCAAAUCGCAAAGUGAAAACAGGCGAUAAAUCAUUCAAGUUUCUGACCUAUCAGCUUUCGACGGUAUGGUAUUGGCUUACCGUGGCAGUGACGGUUAACGGGGGAUUAGGGUUCGAUUCCGGAGAGGGAGCCUGAGAAACGGCUACCACAUCUAAGGAAGGCAGCAGGCGCGCAAAUUACCCAAUUCUAACAGUUUGAGAGAGGUAGUAACAAGAAAUAACAAUACAAGGCAGUUAAAAUGCUUUGUAAUUGGAAUGAUAGAAAUUUAAACCCUUUUUAAAGUAUCAAUUGGAGGGCAAGUCUGGUGCCAGCAGCCGCGGUAAUUCCAGCUCCAAUAGCGUAUAUUAAAAUUGUUGCAGUUAAAAAGCUCGUAGUUGAAGUUCUGCUGAAAGUAACCGGUCUGCUUUUAAUAAAAGUGGUAUCUUGGUAUGUAUUUAGCAAUGAUGUCCUUUGAAGUGUUUUUUACUUUAUUGUAAUAAAGCAUAUUCAGGACUUUUACUUUGAGAAAAUUAGAGUGUUUCUAGCAGGCUGACGCUUUGAAUACUGCAGCAUGGGAAUAAU